rnacentral:antisense_RNA from 1 species
CUUGAGCGAUCCCAGCCACAGCGGCGCGGCCUCGCCCCGGCCCUGUCCGUACGUCGCGAUGAGGGCCUGUGCCUC